UUUUCAUAAGGUCUCGAGACAUAUUACCCAGAAAAUAAGUAUUGAGACUUCCACAAGAACUCUUGAGACUUUUGGUCGAAAAACCCAAACAAAACCAUUUUUAUUUCAAAAGUAUCGAGAUUUACCCCCCCAGUUAUUGAUACCUCAGCAUCAGACAUCAAAAAAUAAAAGGGUAAACUUAUCUUUUCACCCCUUGAACUCUAAAUAUGGCUCAAAUUUCAAGACUUGAUAGUCUUCUCAUUUCUCCAGCUGCCAAACACCUCUUUUACACUCUCUCAACUCUCUUUCAAGCUUCAAAUCCAUUUUUCUUCAAGUACGACGUGAUUUUCAGCCAUUAGACUUGAUUUUCAUCAAUUUUGGAGCUUUUUAGCUGCCAAUGUCACGGAAGCAUGAUCCAUUCCUCCAUUGGUAGGUGACUUAGUAGCCGCUUGCAGCCUAGAGGUCGUGUCAUAUUCCGCUGACAACUUGAUCACAUGUUUAUGUUUAUGUUAUGGUUGUUGAUCAUGUUAUGGAUUUGUAGUCGUUCAUGGCACUAAUUGAGCACCGAUGGUGCAGGUUCAUGUUUAAAGAGAUGAUUCUAAACUUUUUUUCCAAUGUUAUGAUAUUUGCAUGUUAGCGUUUCCACAUGUUAUGAGGUAGCAUUUCAUAAUGAUGUGAUGGCGCAUCAGACAAUUUAUAUGAUUUAUGAAAUGAAUGUUAAUGAUUUGCAUUGUUGUACAGUUUAUGUAUGAAUGUAAGAAGCUUGAUUGGGCCUA